GAAACGACUGCUAAUACCGCAUAAGCCCACGGUGCCGCAUGGCACAGAGGGAAAAGGAGCAAUCCGCUUUGAGAUGGCCUCGCGUCCGAUUAGCUAGUUGGUGAGGUAACGGCCCACCAAGGCAACGAUCGGUAGCCGGACUGAGAGGUUGAACGGCCACAUUGGGACUGAGACACGGCCCAGACUCCUACGGGAGGCAGCAGUGGGGAAUAUUGCACAAUGGGGGAAACCCUGAUGCAGCGACGCCGCGUGGAGGAAGAAGGUCUUCGGAUUGUAAACUCCUGUUGUUGGGGAAGAUAAUGACGGUACCCAACAAGGAAGUGACGGCUAACUACGUGCCAGCAGCCGCGGUAAAACGUAGGUCACAAGCGUUGUCCGGAAUUACUGGGUGUAAAGGGAGCGCAGGCGGGAAGACAAGUUGGAAGUGAAAUCUAUGGGCUCAACCCAUAAACUGCUUUCAAAACUGUUUUUCUUGAGUAGUGCAGAGGUAGGCGGAAUUCCCGGUGUAGCGGUGGAAUGCGUAGAUAUCGGGAGGAACACCAGUGGCGAAGGCGGCCUACUGGGCACCAACUGACGCUGAGGCUCGAAAGUGUGGGUAGCAAACAGGAUUAGAUACCCUGGUAGUCCACACCGUAAACGAUGAAUGGUAGGUGUUGGAGGAUUGACCCCUUCAGUGCC
rnacentral:rRNA from 1 species